CAUACCUACGGGACGCAGCAGUGGGGAAUAUUGCACAAUGGGGGGAACCCUGAUGCAGCGACACCGCGUGGGUGAAGGAGCACCUCGGUGCGUAAAGCCCUAUCGGCAGGGAAGAAAAGCGAACAGGUUCGCCUGGACGGUACCUGACUAAGAAGCCCCGGCUAACUACGUGCCAGCAGCCGCGGUAAUACGUAGGGGGCAAGCGUUAUCCGGAUUCACUGGUAGUAAAGGGAGCG
rnacentral:rRNA from 1 species